GACGAACCGUGCGAACGUUGUUCGGAAUCACUGGGCUUAAAGGGCGCGUAGGCGGGUGUGCAAGUCUGUGGUGAAAGCCUCCAGCUUAACUGGAGAAGUGCCAUGGAUACUGCACAUCUUGAGGAGGGUAGGGGCAUCUGGAACGGUCGGUGGAGCGGUGAAAUGCGUUGAUAUCGGAAGGAACGCCGGUGGCGAAAGCGACGUGCUGGACCUCUUCUGACGCUGAGGCGCGAAAGCUAGGGGAGCAAACGGG
rnacentral:rRNA from 1 species